GCGAAAAGCACACAGCCAAUCCGCUUCCUAUGAAUAUACUGACUCUGAGUCUGCAUCGACACAUUAGAAGAAGGCAACAUGGAGAAAGGAGAUGAUAAUCAUAUUGACUAUGGGUUUGAAGAUGAUGAAGACUCUGAAGAUGAAAGAAACGAGCCGUCAGCAUCAAUCCAACCUAUUGACUUGAAUGA